rnacentral:rRNA from 1 species
GGAUGCGAUCAUACCAGCACUAAAGCACCGGAUCCCAUCCGAACUCCGAAGUUAAGCGUGCUUGGGCGAGAGUAGUACUAGGAUGGGUGACCUCUUGGGAAGUCCUCGUGUUGCAUUCC